UGCUCUUGUGCUCAGGGAAAUAAAGGAGGUGUACUUCAACCCUGUGAAGGAGUGGACACCUUCAAGCUAUGAAGCAGUAGGAAAAAUAAUAGCUCUGAGUCUCCUCCAAAAUGGUAAACUUCCAAGAGAUUUCAGUUCAGAUAUUGUAGAGGAGAUUACCAGUCCCAAUGUGAGGGAGUUCAUUCAGGAGCUUCGAAAGGGAUUAGAUGCCCUUGGACUUUGUCAGCUUCUUCAUCUGUUCACUGAUAAUGAUACACACAACUUUCUGACAUUAAAGAGACUUAACUAGUCUUUUGAAAGCGGACUUCAGUGUGGAUGGGUCCAAUAACAAGCAGACAGAGGGGAAGAUUUACUCUGCAUUCAUUAAAUAUUUGCGGGAGGUUGCUGGUAGAUAUGAAAACUUCUGAUACUCUGUAUUUCAAUUUUCUAUCUUUACUACUUUAUUAAAAUAAUAGACUCGAAUUUUUUGGCUUUAAUACCGAGAAUCAAAAGAGUACUGUGUUUUGUUUUAUAUAUUUUGAACAUCAUUGGUGUGAAGAUUACCAAUUUGUUUUUAUUUUUUUCUUAAUCACGCUUCGCUUAUUAAUAAUCAACGAAAAUUCCUUUUAAAAAUCCGGAAAUCAUCUGGAAUUUUAAAUCAUCUGGAAUUUUUGGAUUUUACAAUCUUGCGCAUGGGCACUACAUUCACGCUAAAUCACGGGAGGCUCUUUAGUUUAUGUUUCCACAAUAUCACAUUUGCAUGGAUAAACUAUAAACCGAUGAUACAGGUACAUGUAAAUUUUUAUUCAAAAUUUGCUUUCAUAUUCUGUUCAUCAAAGAAAAUACGGGAGAUAACCUUAACUCAGUGCCUUUAAUAUAAAAAAUCCCGAGAGCGCUGAAUGUCAACAUGGUGUGUAUAUUUGAAGCGAAAAGUGUUAAAUUCUUCAUUAAUAUGAAUUCGACUUUUAAAUGAUAGGUAUUUUACAGCUUCAAUAUGGUUUGUUAUGAAUAGUUUGACUGCUAAUUUCAAUGCAGCUUCAUUAUUUUUCUCCAAAAUUGAUUCUGCAAUUUUAAGCUCACUUGAGCUGAAAGCUCAAGUGAGUUUUUCUGAUCACAUUUUGUCUGUCGUCUGUCUGUCCAUCCCUCUGUCCGUUAACUUCAGCAUCUUCUCAAGAACUACUUGGCCAAUUUCAAUUAAACUUGGCACAAAUCAUCCUUAGGCAAAGGGAAUUCAAAGUUGUGAAAGUUUAGUGCCACACCCUUUUUUCAAGGGGAGAUAAUUAGAAAUCAAUGAAAAAUUUUAAGAAAUUUUCAAAAAUCUUCUCUCAAGAACCAUAAAGCCAGGAAAGCCGAAACUUGUGUGGAAGCAUCCUCAUGUAUUGUAGAUUCAAAGUUGUGAUAGUCUUGACCCCCGGGGGUAGGUCGUGGCCACAAUGGUGGGUCGAAGUUUUACAUAGGAAUAUAUAUGGUAAAUCUUUAAAAAUAUUCUUCUCAGAAACUAAUCAGCCAGAUGAUUCUUUAAAGUUGUUAAGACUUUGGCUCCAUGUCAAUUCUUCGGCCUCACAAGAAGGUUCAGAGUUUGAUGUAGCUUUAUAUCCCAUAUAUAAACAAUUGUUAAGGAUCUGUUUUAGAACUGCAAUACUCAACAUGUGAUAUGACUAUAAAAUCAUCCGGUUAGAAAAGAAACUAAUGAUUAUAAAGAAUAUUCAGGGGGGGGGGGGGGGUUAUUUAUACAGGAUCUACAUGUAUUAUUGUACAUUGUCCAGAUAGUUUGUAUUAUGACUCCAUUAAGCUGAUUUUAUCAUACCUAUUUUUCCUCAAGUGAGCGAUAUGACCCAUAGGCCUCUUGUUUGCUACAUUACGGGUAUAUGGUAGGCAUUUUAUUUGUGGUGAAGGCCUGUCCAGAAGCAAUAGGAAAUCUAAUUUUUACAUUGAAA